UGGCAUGGGUUACCAUGCCCUUCUCCAGGGGAGCUUCCUGACCCAGGGAUCGAACCCGUGUCUCCUGCAUUAGCAGGUGGAUUCUUUACCACUGAGCCACCUGGGAAACCCAGUAUCUCCUUAGACCAAGAAGGAGUCUUGGUCUAACUGGUUGCACUUGGGCCUCAUGCCAUCGCCUGAUAAGAGCUGGGUGGCAAGAGGUGGGGCCUGAAGGAGGGGCUUCUGUGGGUUCUGUGUGAGAGAGCAUCCCAUGUCGCACCACAGCCAUGUAAAAUGGAGAACAGGAAAUCUCCCUGAACGUAACAAGGGCUGUUAAGGAGGCAAUAAAGAAUGCUGGAAAGCCCGACAUCCCCACCCUCGCCCCCAGACAUCUACUAAGGAACCAGACAGAGGCAGGCAGACUUGUUUAGGAGGCCAUUGUCCAGAUAAGAGUGAGAGAAGUCUGAACUCAACCAGUGGAGAGGGAGUAGAUCCAGAACUUAGAGGAGAUUAAAAACCAGAAAUGAUGAUUGGCUUUUAGGAGGAGAGAGAGAGUGAAGACAAAGACUCCUGUGUGUCUUAGGUAGACAGUGGGGAGGCCCCUGGGAAGAUGGGGAGUGAGUUUGAGGGGCAAGACAGUGGUCUCAGAUACAGCCAAGGGGUCAGGAUCAUAGUCAGGUAGAGCCCAGCAGGCACUUGAGUCAAGGAUCAGGGGCUCAGAAAAAAAUUCCGCUGGGAGUACUGGCCUAAGGCCGUGGCCACUCAAGUAACAGGAACCCUGAGAAUGAGUAAGAUCACCAGAGAAAGAGAAUGGGACGGGGCCCAGGGCAGAAUCCUACGGUACAGUGACACUUGAAGUACCAAUCAAGGUGUGGGUAGGUGACAAAGGAGAAAGAGAAGGAAAGGCUUGAGACAUGCGACAACCAACCAGGUGAGUGGGUUGCCAUGGAAACCAAGGUAGUGAAGGGUUUCAAGGAGAAAGUAAUCAACACUGUCAAAUGCAGCAGAGAAUUCCAUUAAGAUAAAGACAGACUCCCCCCCCGCACCCCCGCCUUUGGAUCUGAUGAUUAGUAAGCUUUGGAUGCCCUCAAUAAGAGCAUUUUGGGGGAGUGAUGGGGCAAAACUUGAAUAAUGUUGAGAUGUGAGGAGGAGGUGAAUUCGUCACCGAGAGUUCUUUGAGGAGUCCGGAAGGAAGACUUGGAGAUGUGAAGGACAAGAGUGGGGAGGUUGAGCAAAGGGAAGACAGGAGCAAGUUCAUAGGCUGAUAUCCACUCCCAGAUUCGAUAAGUGUUGUUUAGUGACAAAGUUGAUUCAUUCCACAUAUUCUAGUUUACCACCUGUUUGUGCCUGGCAGUCUGCCCAGCAUUGUGGAUUCUGUGGUGAAUGAAUUGAAAUAGGCAGAUUUCUGUUCUUGUGGCAUUUAUAUGAUAGUAGGGGAGAAAGAUGUGAAUCACGUAAUCACACACAUAAAUGUGUGAUUUCCAACGUUGACAGAACACACUCUGAAAGAAAGGUAGCGAGUGCUGGAGGAUGUACAGGGCCCCUGCCCCAGGCCAACUCCAGAGGCUUCCCUGCAGCGGCGACACUUGAACCAAGCUGUUAAGGGGACAGAGUUCAUGGGACUGAACAGAUUCGAGAAGAGCCUUCUGGCCAGAGGGACCCGCCCGCCUGUGCACAGAGAGGCGCACUGAGGCCAGAGAGGCAGGCAGGGCUGGGUGGGCAGAGCUCUGGAGGCCGGGGCUGAGCUCCUGUGUACCUCCCGAGAGUGAGGGAAGCGUGUUUGAGACCUGCCUGAAUAUUUCCUGUGCUCUGAGACUGGCUGGUCCUGGAGAAGUCAUUAGAGGAAGCACAGGUGGACUUAGGGAGACAAGUUGGGAAGUUUCUGUUGUCCUGGUGGACAGUAUUUGGACAACACAUUCUGGUCGGUCUUGGUGCUGUAUGGAAGGAAGAUGAGUAAGGAGGGGAGGAGGUGUUCCAGACGACCCCUGAGUUUAGGGCUUGCCUUACUGGUGGUGUGGCAGUGCUUUCCUCAGAACUGGGGAGCCCUACAAAGAAAUGAGGUCUGUGAGGCAGACCCCCAAGUCUGGUGGUAGACAGCUGAGACAUGCAAGCUAGGAGCUGGGGAGGAAGUGGUUGAAUGCGUGGACCUGGAACCCAGAGUGAGAAAUCACAGAGACCGUUUCAGUACUCCUGCGGGAUCCUGAGUGAAAAUGUGAACUGAAAUGGUAUCAGGUUUCUGGAGCAUUCUGAGGAGAUGAGGGAGGCUGAGGAAGAAGAGGCCAAGCAUCAACAUUUGGGGGCCUGUAGAAAAAAAGAUCCUCUUGGGGCACGGAAAAGAAAGGGCGAGAGAGGUCUUUCAACAGAAAGAUGGAGUGGUCAGCAGUGGUUAUGUGCAGAAAGGUCAGAGGUCAAGGGCAAAUCCAGGAGCUCUUCUGAGGUGCAACUGCCCAAUCGCCAUGGCACCCCUGGAAUUGGGCAGUGUAGUGUCUCUCCCGAUUGGUACCCCCCCAGGGCCCAUGGGAGACCUCAGGGGACCGUAGCAGAGACAGCCUGCGUAGGGGGUGAUUAAGGAGAGAAGUGAGGGAGCAAAGUCUAAGGCCUUUAAAUGAAAUUUUAGUCUUCAAGGAAAUAGCAAUACUGGCAUACAGAUAUUCUGAGGGAAGGGAGCCUGAGUAAUGGAGUGAUUAAGGAUGGAGACAAUUAGUGAAAUGAGUUCCCACAGGGGUUGGGUUCAAGUGUAGUGGUGGAUAAAUUAGUUUGGGGCAAUAAUGUAUAUUUGACUGAAUGGGGCAAAACUUAAUUAUUUACCUUUUAGACAGUAUCUUGAUCUCCAUGUUCUUUGGGGAGCUUUUAUCUGACCUGUGUACCAAAUACAACUCCAAUUAGCACCACUUUUAUCCUGUCUCAGGGCUGGGAUCAUGUCUUAUUAUUUUUGGUGUUUCUCAGCACCUAGCAACAGGCAGUAAGGUCUUUGGGUGCCGAAUCAAUAUUAUCUGCCUUGGAAUGAAAAAUCUGAAGUCAACAUUCAAACUUUUUGACCAAAAAGAAUCUGUGAUAAUUCUCCAGAAGUACAGUGUGGGAAAGAAUUGGUAUAAAGUCCUGGUGGCAGGAGUUUGGGGUGGUGGAGGGUGGAGAGAGAGUACAAGAGUCAGCUGUCUUCAUCCUUAUACAUUCUGUCCCAUUUAUGCCUUUCACAUUCAUCCUCUCAUAUGAACUUCACCUCCCCCGGAAGAAGGAGAGCAUCACCUCCCAUCAUAGAGGAGGGAGCAGAAACCAGAGGAGGGGAACGUCCUCUAGUGGUCCAGUGGCCAAGAAUCCACCUCCCAGUGCAGGGGAUGUGGGUUCAACACCUCAGGGGAACUAAGAUCCCACAUGCCUCAGGGCGACUAAGCUCACACACCGCGAUGAAGACCUAGCAUAGUGCCCCCCUCCCCCCAAAAAAACCAGAAGGAAGUGCCUUGCUGACAUCGAGCACAAAUAACAGGAGCUGGAUUCAACCUCAGUCCGUCGAGGAUCACAGUCCGUCUUUCCAGGAUCAGGUUGAGCUGAGAGAAAGAGGAAGAGGAGUCUGUGAGGUGCAGGUGGACGCUCCACCUGGACAUGUGCGGAAGGUUGGAGGCACGCUCCGACAGGAGACCGGAUAUUAAAGCAUCAUAUAAAACUUCGGUGAUAACAUCUGCAAUGCUAGCACCAGAGCAGAUAGCUCAUCCGUCUUAAGAAGCCUCCCUACCUUGUGAAUGAUAUACACAUUCUACAUUUACACUGAAGACAUCUGUAUUUUUUUUCAAUGUUUGUCUUUAGACCCAUCUUAAAUGUAUUUUCACGUUUAAUGUGACAGAGAUCUAAUUUGAUCUUUUUCCGAACGGAUAACCAGGUGGCUAAGCACCAUUUAUUGUUCCAGCACUAUCUUUUCUCCCAGUUCCCUAUGUCUACACUCUGUUCAGGUCUGUUGAUCUGUUUGUCUACUUCUGGGCCAGCACCAGAUUUUAAUAAGCAAAAGCUUCAUCUUCCUACCUGAUCAGCUGAUUAUUACAACAUGAUGGAUUGACUAGUUCAUUCUCUCCACUGAGCUGAGAUGAAGCUCCCUCACACACUGAAUCGCCAUGUCUAGGUGCUGUUGGGUGAAAACAUGAUGCUUGGAGCUCUGACAGCCAUCUUGUGACCAGGAGGGGAAGGCCAGGAGAUGCAACUCUGUGCUGACUCCAGCUUGAGCACCUGGCACCACUGACUUCUGG
ensembl:lncRNA